rnacentral:rRNA from 1 species
CCCUUAGAUGUCCUGGGCCGCACGCGCGCUACACUGAGUGUCUGAGAUACGAGUCUGCCUGGUCCGGCAAGGUCUAGGUAAUCGCUAAAAGACACAUCAUGCUUGGGAUAGAUUAUUGCAAAUAUUAAUCUUGAACGAGGAAUUCCUAGUAAGCGCAAGUCAACAGCUUGCGUUGAUUACGUCCCUGCCCUUUGUACACACCGCCCGGCGCUACUACUGAUUGGAUGUUUAAGCGAGGUUCUCGAACUGCUAGCGACUUAGCUUCGGUGAGGUCGCAGUGUGGGAAGUGAACCUAGCUUUGGUGUCUAGAGGAAGUAAAAGUCGUAACA